GGCAUCUCCACUUUGGUGACAUCACCCAUGAAAUGGGGGUGCUUUCACUUGGGUGCAGUCCCCAUGUUCCCUGGCUCAUGUCUGGCCUGAGGACAGGGCUGCUGCUCUGUCAGAAGACCCAGGGCACAGUGGAGAUCUGAACAGCGGAGCCCCACACUGACCGGGUCUUGCUGCCUCAUUUGAGGGCUGUAUUCGCCACCUUGGUUGUGUACAGAUCUAGUCAGAGUGACCAGUGACCAAGAACAGAGAGCUCAGUCCAGCCAGCUGAUCUCUGCAGGGCGCGGCCCGCACGGCCUGACUCCCCCAGACCCCCGCUCUCUAUUGUCAUCCCACCCUUGCAUGUACACCUCCCUGCAGAAUCAGUGGCUGGUAUAGUCCUGGAAACCCCAAGGAGGUCUCAUUACUGGUGGGUCCUCAGAUGCAAAGAACCCCCACAUGUCAGGGCUGAGUGGGACCUGGAGUUCAUUCCCCUCUUUCCCUGCCCUCUACUCACACCCAUAUACAGAUAAGAAAACUGAGGUCCAAGAGGGUAGCAUGCUUUGCCGUGGCUUUUUCCUGAGUGUUGUCUCAAACUUUGGUGCUGAGACCCACCUCUGGCAAAUAGGUAGUUUCAUUCUUUGUAAAACUGAGGGUCACCCAGUACCCCAGGGCUGCAGCAACAGCAAGCGAGAUUCUUCAAUAUCUGAGUUUUCAAUACUUCCCAGCCACAGAGCUUCUAGAAGCAGGGCUUUAGCUCUGCAGUGCCGGCUCAUAGUAGGUGCUCAGCUAAUGCCUGGCUCAGAGCUGUCCAUUCACCAGCACAGAGGUGUUCAGCACGUGAAGGUGUAUUGAAUCGGAUCUCUAUCUCCAGGAGGAAGCUCACAGGAGGCGCUGGGAGGACGUUUGUGGAAUGAAUAAAUAAAAGCGUGCUCUUGGAAUGAAGAAGUAGAGAAAUGAAGAAGAAUCGGUGUAGAUGGACAUAAAUUUCCACCAAGCGCCGCCAAGGCUCUGCAGUCGAGGCUGCUGAAAAGACCCUGCGGAGGCAGAGGGGCCAUUUGUCACCCUGCAGACGGCUGGAGGGCCGCGAAGCAAGGGUGUGAUGGAGGCUCGUUCAUCAUUUUCCCGUUACCAGGCGACGUGGAGGGAGCGCACGCAUGCGCAGCCCCACCAGCGGCCGGCAGCUCUGUCUGCUCCAGUGCUGUCUCCUACAGGAAGCCUUCCCUGAUCCACCCCAGUACGCACACAGAGCCUCAAUCUGCAGUCCUCUGAUCCUUUGAUCAACAGGCAUGCUGGACCCUGGACCAGGUACCCAGUACAUGGACAUCCCACGGACAGGGCGUUCGGUCGACCUCAGCCACGAGCCAAGGGCUGGGCCAGAGGUGGCCACACCAGACCACUUCUUCCUGGAGAGGUGUGAGCUGUGAACUAGGGCACCUGGCCCUACCCCAGAGUCAUUCUUGGGUCUGUUCGGAGGCCCGCCUGCUCUUCUGAGAGCCCUGCUUUCUCUGAGCCCUCCAGAGUCUCAGCGCUUUCUUCCCUGUUGCCUGCUUCACACAACUCCAAAAUGGUCACUGUCCUUGGAGAAGGCCGAGGGCACCCGUGACCCAGCUGAGGGAGGCACAGCGCCCUCCAACCAGCACCCUUUACUGCCUCGCCCAGGAAGGAGGAGGGGGCCUGCACCCCCCACCUUUAAAGGACACUAACUGGGUACCAGGAGGCGAACCCUCGUGGGACAGGCCCAGUCACUGUGGGCUGGGGAGGACCGUAUGGGCACGGGGAGAAGUCCUGAGUGAAAUAAACUCAAUUAAAAGAGCAAAUGACCUGUGCCCCUCGCCCACCAGACAGUGCAGCUGGGAGGCGAACACGCUGGUUAGGACACAGGAAUUCCUGCUCUUCCUUUUCAAACUCUUUGAAUGUUGUCAGGCCAUUUGAAUAAUAAA